rnacentral:rRNA from 1 species
ACUGGCACUUGGAGAGUGGCAAGUCUUCCAGUAUGGGGAGCAAAACAGCUAUGGGUCAAGUCCGAUAUCUUUAGGAGAAGUCUUAUUGUGAGGGCGAGUUAUAUAACACCAUAGGACUGGCCGUCCCAUAUGAAAAGAUUAUAUUAGAAUUGAAUGAAGCUUUGUUUAUAUAUUGAUAAUGACAGUAUAUAUAUCGUGUCUUGACUAAUUGCGUGCCAGCAGUCGCGGUAAUACGUAAGAGACUAGUGUUAUUCAUCUUAAUUAGGUUUAAAGGGUACCCAGACGGUCAAUAUAGCUUAUAAAAUGUUAGUACUUGACUAGAGUUUUAUGUAAGAGGGCAGUACUUGAGGAGGAGAGAUGAAAUUUCGUGAUACCAAAGGGACUCUGUAAAGGCGAAGGCAGCCCUCUAUGUAAAAACUGACGUUGAAGGACGAAGGCACAGAGAACAAACAGGAUUAGAUACCCAAGUAGUCUUUGCAGUAAAUGAUGAAUGCCAUAGGUUAGAUUGGUCAAUUAUAGUCUAGGGUUAGUCUAGCAAACUAAUACCCUAUGCUAUAAUCCUAAUAUCUGGUCUAUAAAUGAAAGUGUAAGCAUUUCACCUCAAGAGUAAUGUGGCAACGCAGGAACUGAAAUCACUAGACCGUUUCUGACACCAGUAGUGAAGUAUGUUAUUUAAUUCGAUAAUCCGCA